rnacentral:ncRNA from 1 species
CUACCGGCGUCGAGAGGCGCUGGGAUGGCUGUGCAGAAGUCAGCCGAGGCCAUAGUAGGUGCGGUAUGACCGAAGGGC